rnacentral:rRNA from 1 species
GAAGCUUGCUUCUAUGACGUUAGCGGCGGACGGGUGAGUAACACGUGGGCAACCUGCCUGUAAGACUGGGAUAACUUCGGGAAACCGAAGCUAAUACCGGAUAGGAUCUUCUCCUUCAUGGGAGAUGAUUGAAAGAUGGUUUCGGCUAUCACUUACAGAUGGGCCCGCGGUGCAUUAGCUAGUUGGUGAGGUAACGGCUCACCAAGGCAACGAUGCAUAGCCGACCUGAGAGGGUGAUCGGCCACACUGGGACUGAGACACGGCCCAGACUCCUACGGGAGGCAGCAGUAGGGAAUCUUCCGCAAUGGACGAAAGUCUGACGGAGCAACGCCGCGUGAGUGAUGAAGGCUUUCGGGUCGUAAAACUCUGUUGUUAGGGAAGAACAAGUACGAGAGUAACUGCUCGUACCUUGACGGUACCUAACCAGAAAGCCACGGCUAACUACGUGCCAGCAGCCGCGGUAAUACGUAGGUGGCAAGCGUUAUCCGGAAUUAUUGGGCGUAAAGCGCGCGCAGGCGGUUUCUUAAGUCUGAUGUGAAAGCCCACGGCUCAACCGUGGAGGGUCAUUGGAAACUGGGGGAACUUGAGUGCAGAAGAGAAAAGCGGAAUUCCACGUGUAGCGGUGAAAUGCGUAGAGAUGUGGAGGAACACCAGUGGCGAAGGCGGCUUUUUGGUCUGUAACUGACGCUGAGGCGCGAAAGCGUGAGGAGCAAACAGGAUUAGAUACCC